GAUGAACGCUGGCGGCGUGCCUAAUACAUGCAAGUCGAGCGAACGGACGAGAAGCUUGCUUCUCUGAUGUUAGCGGCGGACGGGUGAGUAACACGUGGAUAACCUACCUAUAAGACUGGGAUAACUUCGGGAAACCGGAGCUAAUACCGGAUAAUAUUUUGAACCGCAUGGUUCAAAAGUGAAAGACGGUCUUGCUGUCACUUAUAGAUGGAUCCGCGCUGCAUUAGCUAGUUGGUAAGGUAACGGCUUACCAAGGCAACGAUGCAUAGCCGACCUGAGAGGGUGAUCGGCCACACUGGAACUGAGACACGGUCCAGACUCCUAUGGGAGGCAGCAGUAGGGAAUCUUCCGCAAUGGGCGAAAGCCUGACGGAGCAACGCCGCGUGAGCGAUGAAGGUCUUCGGAUCGUAAAACUCUGUUAUUAGGGAAGAACAUAUGUGUAAGUAACUGUGCACAUCUUGACGGUACCUAAUCAGAAAGCCACGGCUAACUACGUG
rnacentral:rRNA from 1 species